UCGCAUCAUAAAGACCCAAAUCCAUCUAGAGAAAUCAUCCACAAGAGUAAGAAAAUAGUUCAUUACAUCAUAGGUUGAGACUUUGUAUGGCCCCCAAACAUCCAUAUCUAUCAAUUCAAAUGGUGCAACAACUCUACUGUUACUAUGAGAAAAUGAAAGUCUAACUUGUCUAGAUAAUGGACAUAUGCCAUAGUGGUCCAAUGUAAGACUACAUUUAUUCUUCAAAACAGAAAUUCUUCUUAGAAAUGCCAUAGGUACAUGGCCUAUCCUCUUGUGCCAUAACUCUGAAUCUGCCAUCUCUCUUACUGCCAAAGAUUUCAUCUGCUCCUUGACUCCAGCAACUUCUUCCUUACCAAUCCCCUUCACCCUAUCAAUGAAGAGGUCUUGGAAGAUAAAGAAGUCAGGAUAGAAACUAACAAAGCAUUGCAAAGCCUUAGUCAUCUUUGAAACUGACAAUAAUUUGAAUUUAAAUACUAGUAUACACAAUACAUUUUUAAUGAGAUCACUUCUUGUCAAGUUGCAAUUUCCUACAUGAGUAAUCUGAGUCGAAUCUUUAGUAGACGUUUGAACAUGUCCCAAGUUUCCUACUUUAGUAGCCUUAACCAACAAUUGUUAAUUACCUAUCAUAUGAUUAGUAACCCUUGUGUCUACUAUCCAAGUAGGACUAAAAUCAGAAGCAAACAAAGAAAUACCUACCAUGUGUGCACUAGGUUCACCAACUAAAGUUUUGUUCAACAAAUUGAGGAUAUUUAGUAUGGCUCAGGGGUGAAGACUGGUGCUAUAAUAGGUGUGAGUGGACGAGGAAUAGAAGCAACAUUUCCAUCUGAUUGUGCCAUGUUUCUGCUCGGUAUAACACCUUUCUUUUUUUUUUACUUAAAAUUAGUAGGGUACCCUAUGAUUUUAUAGAAUUUUUUCUUAAAAUGAUAUUUCAUGUUGCAAAAGUCACAUUCAUUAAUUUGAAAUAAUUAUCCUUGGAAUGACCUCGUGUGCGACAGUAAUCACACUCCAGAUUAUAAUUCUUCAUCCCCUGCCUUGGACCAGAAUAUUUAGUAGUAAAUAGGGUAGUAUGCUCCAUAUUUUUAGUCAAUGCACAAUGCCCUCCUACGACCAUUCUUUGACUCUCAUCUUGAAGCAACAUUGCAUAUGCUUGAUUAACAUUAGGAACAUGUGAUUUCAUCAAGAUCUGGCUGCGUGUCUGGCUAUAUAUGUCAUUGAUACCUAUAAGAAAUUGUAACAAUUGUUGGUAUUGUAAAUGAUAAGCAUAUUCCUUGGAUUUUGCACAUUUACAAGAAGGAGGGGGCAUCAAUGGAUCAUAUUCAUCCUAUAGGUCCUUUACUUUAGAAUAAUACACAGAGAUGGAUGAAGUACCUUGUGUUAAGAUAAAAAUUUCCUUAUCCAGAUAAAAUAUGCGAGAAGUUGUCACCUUAUCAAAGCGCUCUCGCAGGUCCUCCCAAAUAGCAUAAGCACUAGAAUGCAACAGAAGUCUACUAAGCAAAUCAUGACUAACAUUAGGCAUAAUCUAUGAUUUCACUAUCGCAUUACAGCGACCUAGUGAUUAAUAAAAUUCUAUCCAUAAGUGUCCCGCGUGAUAAUGCCUUCAACAAAACCAAGUGUAUUCCUAGUCAGCAAAGAAACUUCCAUGGCCUGUCGCCAUAGAGUAUAAUUCUCCAUUCCAAUGGGGGCAUCCCAAUCGAAAACGAGCUCGGAGCAUCCAAAGCAUGAAAAAAUAGUGGGUGAUUGUGGUUAAUCACAAUCACAUUUUGUGCAGUUGCGUCAUCGGUUGCCAUGAAAAAUUAGGGCUCAAAACACACAAAAAACUCAAAUUCACCAGAAAGUACCCAAGGAAUCUUUUGAUUUUCAACUGUCGUCGGAGAAAAUCCCUAGAUUCACUCAAUUAGGGCCAUGAUACCAUGUUAAAUCUCCACUAAUCGAUGAAUUGAGUAAUUCAAUUGAGCUCACAAAUGAAUAAGAUGAGAGAAUCAUGAAUAAGAAGUUGAAAUCAGAAAGCAGAACUUUGAUAAAAUGAAUCGUGU
rnacentral:lncRNA from 1 species